rnacentral:rRNA from 1 species
UUACUAGAGCAAAGGAUAGACAGCGCCCGCGGAGCUCGCUCCCGGGGCCACCCUACUCCCGUAGGGUUUAGAGUCGUCGGGCCUCUCGGAGAAGCUCGGUCCUGAACUCCACCCUUGAAUAAACUACCUUUGUUGCUUUGGCGGGCCGCCUCGUGCCAGCGGCUUCGGCUGUUGAGUGCCCGCCAGAGGACCCCAACUCUUGUUUUUAGUGAUGUCUGAGUACUAUAUAAUAGUUAAAACUUUCAACAACGGAUCUCUUGGUUCUGGCAUCGAUGAAGAACGCAGCGAAAUGCGAUAAGUAAUGUGAAUUGCAGAAUUCAGUGAAUCAUCGAAUCUUUGAACGCACAUUGCGCCCUCUGGUAUUCCGGGGGGCAUGCCUGUUCGAGCGUCAUUAUAACCACUCAAGCUCUCGCUUGGUAUUGGGGUUCGCGGUUUCGCGGCCCCUAAAAUCAGUGGCGGUGCCUGUCGGCUCUACGCGUAGUAAUACUCCUCGCGAUUGAGUCCGGUAGGUCUACUUGCCAGCAACCCCUAAUUUUUUUAAGGUUGACCUCGGAUCAGGUAGGGAUACCCGCUGAACUUAAGCAUAUCAAUAAGCGGAGGAAAAGAAACCAACAGGGAUUACCUCAGUAACGGCGAGUGAAGCGGUAACAGCUCAAAUUUGAAAGCUGGCUCUUUUAGGGUCCGCGUUGUAAUUUGUAGAAGAUGCUUCGGGUGUGGCCCCGGUCUAAGUUCCUUGUACAGGACGUCAUAGAGGG